AGGCCUGACACGCUACGCCGUCUGGGGAAUGGCUAGGCUUGAGCGCCGAGGAAGGGCGCGGCAAGCGGCGAAACGCCUCGGGUAAGCGCAUGCAGCUGUAGAACCGAGGAUGCCCGAAUGAGACCUCUAGUUGCGAGUUCUUCGGAACUCGUGACGCUCCCACAUGGGAGUGGGAACCCCCUGAACGGAAACAUCUUAGUAGGGGGAGGAAAAGAAACCAAACGAGAUUCCCAAAGUAGCAGCGAGCGAACUGGGAAAAGUCCAAACCGAAUCCUGUAAGGAAACUUACCGGAGAUGUAGAGUUGUGGACCCAGCCUCCUCUUCGUCAGCAAAGCCGAAGUGGCCUGGAAUGGCCCGCGAAACAGGGUGAAAGCCUCGUAGGUGUAAACUGAAAAGAGUUGGGCUGGAGUUCCAGAGUAUCGUACCUUGGUUUUGGUGCAAGAAGCUAGGGGACAUCAACCUCUAAGACUAAAUACGUCUCAAGACCGAUAGCGCACUAGUACGGUGACGGAAAGUUGAAAAGUACCCCGGAAGGGGGGUGAAAAGUGUCUGAAACCAGACGGUAACAGACGUGUGCAGCCCGGAAGGGUAGACUCCUCCUGAAGGAACCCAUGGCAACAUGGCAUUACGAGGGAGGACGACUAGGGUUGCACGCUCCGUCUAGAAACACGGGCCGGGGAGUUCACGGCUGUGGCAAGCUUAAAGGUAAAAAGCCUGCAAGCAAAGGGAAACCAAAACGCGCACAGUCAGCUUUACGCUGGCGAGGCGCUGGGUCUGAAAGGGCCCGAAGUCACAGCUGCGAAACUAGAAACCGGGCGAUCUAACCCUGGGCAGGUCGAAGCCAGGCGAAAGCUUGGUGGAGGACCGAAGGGAUGCUGACGUGCAAUUCGCUCCUCAGACCUGGGGCUAGGGGCUAAAGACCAAUCUAGCCCGGUGAUAGCUAGUUCCCUCCGAAGUGGGUCGCAGCCCAGCCUUGAGCGAGACAGCUGAUGGGGUAGAGCACUGAUUGGAAAGUAAGGGGUCGAAAGAUCUCACUUUUCUUUCAAACUCCGAAUACAUUGGCGUCGUAGACCUCAAGAGACGGGCCAUAGGGGGUAAGCCCCUAUGCCGAGAGGGGAACAACCCAGACUGUGGUUAAGGCCCCAAAGUGCUGGCUAAACGUUAAACUGAAAGACGUCGUCAGCCUCAGACAGCGGGGAGGUAGGCUUAGAAGCAGCCAACCUUUAAAGAAAGCGUAACAGCUCACCCGCCGAGGCUGACGGCUCUGAAAAUGGACGGGACUAAGCCAGCCGCCGAAACCUCAGGGCACAACCGCACAG
rnacentral:rRNA from 1 species